rnacentral:rRNA from 1 species
AAUGUAUAUGGGUAGGGGAGCGUUCUCAUCGGAUUGAAGCAGUACCGUAAGGAGUUGUGGACUGGUGAGAAGUGAGAAUGUCGGUAUGAGUAGCGAAAAGAAUGGUGAGAAUCCAUUCCACCGAAAGCCUAAGGGUUCCUGAGCAACGAUCGUCGUCUCAGGGUAAGUCGGGACCUAAGCCGAGGCGGAAAAGCGUAGGCGAUGGACAACAGGUUGAAAUUCCUGUACCGGUGUGAAUCGUUUGAUCGAAGGAGUGACACAGUAAGGUAGGUCAGCACGCGAUUGGAAGUGCGUGUUUAAGCAUGUAGGUUGAGUUAUAGGCAAAUCCGUAACUCUAAAAGCUGAGAUGUGAUGACGAGCUGUUUACAGCGAAGUGAUUGAUCCUACACUGUCGAGAAAAGCUUCUAGGUAGAGACACAUCGCCCGUACCAAAACCGACACAGGUAGGCGGGGAGAGAAUCCUAAGGUGCGCGGGAAAACCCUCGUUAAGGAACUCGGCAAAAUGCCUCCGUAACUUCGGGAAAAGGAGGACUCAUGUAGUGUGAAGGGCAGUAACGCGUGGAGCAUGAAUGAGUGGCACAAGAGAGGCGCAAGCGACUGUUUACCACAAACACAGGUGCCUGCUAAAGCGAAAGCUGAUGUAUAGGUGCUGACACCUGCCCGGUGCUGGAAGGUUAAGAGGAGGGGUUAGACUUUGGUCGAAGCUCUGAAUUGAAGCCCCAGUAAACGGCGGCCGUAACUAUAACGGUCCUAAGGUAGCGAAAUUCCUUGUCGGGUAAGUUCCGACCCGCACGAAAGGUGUAACGACUUGCGCACUGUCUCAACGAGGGACCCGGUGAAAUUGAAGUACCUGUGAAGAUGCAGGUUACCCGCGACUGGACAGAAAGACCCCAUGGAGCUUUACUGCAACCUAAGAUUGAACUUAGUUAAUGAAUGUACAGGAUAGGUGGGAGACUUAGAAUCUAGGGCGCCAGUCUUAGAGGAGUCGUUGUUGGGAUACCACCCUUUGAUUAAUUGAUUUCUAACAGGCCGAUUAACAACCGGCUGGACAGUCUUAGGCGGGCAGUUUGACUGGGGCGGUCGCCUCCUAAAGAGUAACGGAGGCGCCCAAAGGUUCCCUCAGAGCGGACGGAAAUCGCUCGAAGAGUGUAAAGGCAGAAGGGAGCUUGACUGCGAGACGGACAGGUCGAGCAGGGACGAAAGUCGGGCUUAGUGAUCCGGUGGUGCCGAGUGGAAGGGCCAUCGCUCAACGGAUAAAAGCUACCCUGGGGAUAACAGGCUAAUCUCUCCCAAGAGUCCAUAUCGACGGGGAGGUUUGGCACCUCGAUGUCGGCUCAUCACAUCCUGGGGCUGAAGUAGGUCCCAAGGGUUCGGCUGUUCGCCGAUUAAAGUGGUACGUGAGCUGGGUUCAGAACGUCGUGAGACAGUUCGGUCCCUAUCCAUCGCGGGCGCAAGAAACUUGAAGGGGGCUGCUCCUAGUACGAGAGGACCGGAGUGGACGAACCGCUGGUGUACCAAUUAUCCUGCCAAGGGUACAGUUGGGUAGCUACGUUCGGGACGGAUAAACGCUGAAAGCAUCUAAGCGUGAAACCAGCCUUGAGAUGAGGUUUCUCAUAGCAUAAGCUAGUAAGAUCCCAUGUAGACGACAUGGUUGAUAGGCCAGGUGUGGAAGAGCUGUGAGGCUUGGAGCUGACUGGUACUAAUAGAUCGAGGGCUUUACUUA